rnacentral:rRNA from 1 species
CCAAUAGCGUAUAUUAAAGUUGUUGCAGUUAAAAAGCUCGUAGUUGAAUUUCGGGGUCAGUAGGUUGGUCGUGCCACAGGUAUGAACUGGUCUCACUGAUUCCUCCUUCCUGAUGAACCGUAAUGCCAUUAAUUUGGUGUUGCGGGGAGACUGGACUGUUACUUUGAAAAAAUUAGAGUGUUUAAAGCAGGCUAACGCUUGAAUACAUUAGCAUGGAAUAAUGAAAUAGGACGUUCGGUCUUAUUUUGUUGGUUUCUAAGAUUGACGUAAUGAUUAAUAGGGAUAGUUGGGGGCAUUAGUAUUCAAUUGUCAGAGGUGAAAUUCUUGGAUUUAUUGAAAACUAACUACUGCGAAAGCAUUUGCCAAGGAUGUUUUCAUUAAUCAAGAACGAAAGUUAGGGGAUCGAAGACGAUCAGAUACCGUCGUAGUCUUAACCAUAAACUAUGCCGACUAGGGAUCGGAUGAUGUUAAUUUUUUAAUGACUCAUUCGGCGCCUUACG